rnacentral:tRNA from 1 species
GUUUUCAUGGUGUAACUAACAUAUUAUAUUUUCAUUGUAAAGCUGAAUUUCUUAUUCUGAAAACC